UAGAGAGAGAUUAAGACUUUGGGAAAUUAGAAAGAUGAAAUGGCAGAUAUUAACUGAGAAUGGUAAAGAACAAAAAUAGUGAAGGCUUGACAAUUUACAAACACUCACUCAAUAUUGUUCAACAUUCAUUCAUACAUAUCAAGAAGAUGAGUGAGGAGGACAUGUAAUAUAAAUAAAUUCUUGUACAUCAUCAGCAUCAUCAAAGUAUAAAAUAGCUUCUAAAUAUAAUAGAAUUUUGGCUUUUCCCAUAUAGCAAGCAGCUUUUGCCUCGUUUUUGAAUCAGUAUUGCCUGCUUCUAUAAGCAUUCACAAGAGAGAAAUGUUGCCCAUUCACAGGAGAGAAAUGUUGCCUCUUUUCUUACCACAACCAACAGGACCAACACAACUUCACCAUACCGAUCGCACCAUGACCUGAAGAACAGAAGAAGAACAAAUUCAAAUCACAAAUAAAUAAUAGAUCACAGAUUACAAAGCAAUAUAUAUUUCAUCUUCUCAAAUCUGAAAUACUACAUUCAAGUUCCAAAUUCAUUAUAAAGUCAAAGUUUCUCAAUAAACCAAAAAAGAAAUAUAAUUCUCAGUUAGGUGGAGAUAAGAGCAGAUUCCAAGCAGGCAAUCAGGCAUAAAAGAGUAAGAAACUACCACCAAUUUAUAUGUUUUUCAAAUGCAUUUCAGAAGCUUAAAGACUGGCACAGAAAAAAUAGCCUUUCCAUUCUAUUAUGACAGAAUCCUCAUAAAAGUUACAGUAGAUAGUAACAAGUCCUCUAUUUUGUAUUGUCAAAUUUACAUAUUAUAAUUCUAUCUCUCUCAAACACACACCUACACAAGAAAAGGGAAGCAAAAGUCAAAGUACACUUUGAUUUCGAAUAUUGAAAAAGUGAUAGCACAUGAACAGUAGAAGCAAUUACAAGGGGCAGAGGCAACCUGCCAAAUCAUGGAUGCCAUGCUUUUACUUUUCCUUUUUACUCAUUCCCCACCAGAAUGAAGAUGUAUUUUAAACACUACAUUGAACUAAUUCAUAAAGAACUUUGAGAAUAUGGAAAGGUAGUCCACCGUCUGUGCAGGUCAGCCACAAAGCAUGUUUCUCACUCUAAAGGAUAGUGCAUGAGCAAGUACCCUGUUUUGGCUUCUCCUCCUUGUUCUUGUCUGCAGUACACCCAAAGAUGGAAGCAGAGAAAUUAAAAUAGUAGUGCAUUAUGUUAAGUCAAAGGCUUUAAGGCAUAUCAUCACAGAGGACCUUACAUAUCAUCACAGAGUAAGACAAUACAUACACAAACUGAUAUCAAAAUACCGAACUGUUAUAGGGCAAAUCAUCACAGAGGUGGCGAAUUACAGGGCAUAUCAUCACAGAGGAACUUACAUACACAAAAUUCUUCCAAACUGAUAUCAAAAUACCGAACUGUUAUACUAAAAUUGCAGAAGUCUGACAAUCAAGGACUGUAACAGGGAGAUUUUAGCAAGAAUUUGAGUUAUAUGAAACUGAUUUACCUGAUUUGGAGAGAAGUUCGGCUUUUGUUCUAAACUGAGAAACUGAGGUAUAACAGGCUUUUGUUCGUUCACAGCGAAAUAGGCUACCAGCUCUCAGCGAAUCUAGGGCACAGCGAAAUCUCGGUCGCGAUUCUCAGUUGCAGUUGCCUAAAUCGCGAAUCUCGGUUGCAUUUGGAGAGAAGAGAGAAACUAGGGCUUGGGUAUGAGAUGCAAUUCGUAUUUAGAGAGAAGAGAGAGACAAGCACGGGUUUUGCUGACAAGGAAGGCUCUUCAAUUUAUGUUUUUAAAUAGUUAUGCUAGUUAAGGUUUUUAUGUUAGUUAGCUAUUAUACUCAUGAACUUUCCCGUAUAUAUAUAUAUAUAUAUUUGACGUGUGUG
rnacentral:lncRNA from 1 species